AGUGAACGCUGGCGGUAGGCCUAACACAUGCAAGUCGAACGGCAGCACAGUAAGAGCUUGCUCUUACGGGUGGCGAGUGGCGGACGGGUGAGGAAUACAUCGGAAUCUACUUUUUCGUGGGGGAUAACGUAGGGAAACUUACGCUAAUACCGCAUACGACCUACGGGUGAAAGCAGGGGAUCUUCGGACCUUGCGCGAUUGAAUGAGCCGAUGUCGGAGUAGCUAGUUGGCGGGGUAAAGGCCCACCAAGGCGACGAUCCGUAGCUGGUCUGAGAGGAUGAUCAGCCACACUGGAACUGAGCAACGGUCCAGGCACCUACGGGAGGCAGCAGUGGGGAAUAUUGGACAAUGGGCGCAAGCCUGAUCCAGCCAUACCGCGUGGGUGAAGAAGGCCUUCGGGUUGUAAAGCCCUUUUGUUGGGAAAGAAAAGCAGCAGGUUAAUACCCCGCUGUUCUGACGGUACCCAAAGAAUAAGCACCGGCUAACUUCGU
rnacentral:rRNA from 1 species